UACGAAGGUGGCAAGCGUUACUCGGAAUUACUAGGCGUAAAGGGCAGGUAGGUGGUUCGUUAAGUCUGUUGUGUAAGCUCCCGGCUUAACUGGGAGAGGUCAACGGAAACUACCGGACUUGAGUAUAGGAGAGGUUACUGGAAUUCCCGGUGUAGCGGUGAAAUGCGCAGAUAUCGGGAGGAACACCAAUGGCGAAAGCAGGUAACUGGACUAUUACUGACACUCAGCUGCGAAAGCUAGGGGAGCAAACAGG
rnacentral:rRNA from 1 species